GAGUUUGAUCCUGGCUCAGGAUGAACGCUGGCGGCGUGCUUAACACAUGCAAGUCGAACGAAACACCUUAUUUGAUUUUCUUCGGAACUGAAGAUUUGGUGAUUGAGUGGCGGACGGGUGAGUAACGCGUGGGUAACCUACCCUGUACAGGGGGAUAACAGUCAGAAAUGACUGCUAAUACCGCAUAAGACCACAGCACCGCAUGGUGCAGGGGUAAAAACUCCGGUGGUACAGGAUGGACCCGCGUCUGAUUAGCUGGUUGGUGAGGUAACGGCUCACCAAGGCGACGAUCAGUAGCCGGCUUGAGAGAGUGAACGGCCACAUUGGGACUGAGACACGGCCCAAACUCCUACGGGAGGCAGCAGUGGGGAAUAUUGCACAAUGGGGGAAACCCUGAUGCAGCGACGCCGCGUGAGUGAAGAAGUAUUUCGGUAUGUAAAGCUCUAUCAGCAGGGAAGAAAAUGACGGUACCUGACUAAGAAGCCCCGGCUAACUACGUGCCAGCAGCCGCGGUAAUUC
rnacentral:rRNA from 1 species